AACGCAAAAUUAGUGUGGUUUCCGGAAAGUUGGCGCAGAUAGUGAGCGAACGUCCUCAAUUGAAUCAUCAGGAUAUCCUCAUAUCAGGCAAGUCCAAAGAACCUGCAAUAAGGAAAUAACAGGAAAAAUCGUAUUUAAUUACAGCGUAUACGGACAGCAACAUCAAAAUACGUAAUAAACUAGCCAGCAGAAUGAGACAAUUGCAGUUUAUAAGCAAACUUGUAGUCAGGUCAGCUCAGUAGUGCGAAAAUAAUCAACUUGUGUAGACAUUAAAUAUUAUAAAGCAAAAUGAAUAAACUGUUUGCUGUUUUCCUUAUCGCCUCCAUGGCCAGUGAAUCUAUGGCCAUGAGUCACAGAUUACGGCGGCAGGCUGUCACAUCAAGUACUACAGCUGCGCCCCCAACCGCAGCGGCUCAGCCUUCAUCUGGGAAUGGG